UUUACUUGAGUAUCUGUCAUUCUAACGAAAUACCUAACAACCACGUACGAAUUGGAAAUGUGUCAUGUAUUUGCGUUUAACUAGUGUUUCGAAUUUUAUACUAAUUAUUUGCUUGAGGACAAGAAAAGAUUCAAGUAUAAGAGAGUUUGAUAACACGAAACUGUAUCAUAUAUUUUCCUUGAUUUACAUUCAAAAAUCAUACUGUUUUCAUUUAUAUUCCGAUUAUUCCGCAAGUGUUCGAGU
rnacentral:lncRNA from 1 species